AUAUAGGUCAAGGUUGAGGUGGAGGUUGAGGUUGAGGUUGAGGUUGAGGUUGAGGUACAGGUAGAGAUAGAAAUAGAGGUAGAGGUUGAAAUAGAGGUAGAGGUUGAAGUUUAGGUAGAGGUUGAAGUUUAGAUAGAGGUUUAAGUUCAUAUAGAAAUUUAAGUUCAGGUAGAGGUUCAAGUUCAGGUAGAGGUUCAAGUUCAGGUAGAGGUUCAAGUUCAGGUAGAGGUCCAAGUUCAGGUAGAGGUUCAAGUUCAGGUAGAGGUUCAAGUUCAGGUAGAGGUUCAAGUUCAGGUAGAGGUAGAGGUUCAAGUUCAGGUAGAGGUUCAAGUUCAGGUAGAGGUCCAAGUUCAGGUAGAGGUUCCAGUUCAGGUACUGGAUAUAGAGGGUUAGUUAGAGGUCGAGGUACAUGUGGAUAUAGAGGGUUAGUUAGAGGUCGAUGUAAAUAUGGAUAUAGAGGGUUAGCUAGAGUUCGAGGUACAUGUGGAUAUAGAGGUCCACCUAGACGGUAAAAUUGAGGUUGAGGUUGAGGUUGAGGUUGAGGUUGAGGUUGAGGUUGAGGUUGAGGUUGAG
rnacentral:misc_RNA from 1 species